rnacentral:rRNA from 1 species
AAAUUGAAGAGUUUGAUCAUGGCUCAGAUUGAACGCUGGCGGCAGGCUAACACAUGCAAGUCGAACGGUAACAGGGAAGCAGCUUGCUGCUUUGCUGAGCGAAGUGGCGAGACGGGUGAGUAAUGUCUGGGAAACACCUGAUGGAGGGGAUAACUACUGAAACGGUGGCUAAUUUCCGCAUAACGUCGCAAGACCAAAAGAGAGGACCUUCGGGCCUCUUGCCAUCAGAUGUGUGCCCAGAUGGGAUUAGCUAGUUGGUGAGGUAACGGCUCACCAAGGCGACGAUCCUAGCUGGUCUGAGGAGGAUGACCAGCCACACUGGAACUGAAGACACGGUCCAGACUCCUACGGGAGGCAGCAGUGGGGAAUGUGUGCACAAUAGGCGCAAGCCUGAUGCAGCCAUGCCGCGUGUAUGAAGAAGGCCUUCGGGUUGUAAAGUACUUUUCAGCGGGGAGGAAGGUAUUUGUGGUUAAUAACCGCAGCAAUUGACGUUACCCGCAGAAAGCACCGGCUAACUCCGUGCCAGCAGCGCGUAUACGGAGGGUGCAAGCGUUAAUCAGAUUACUGGGCAAAAGCGCACGCAGGCGGUCUGUCAAGUCGGAUGUGAAAUCCCCGGGCUCAACACAGGAACUGCAUUCGAAACUGGCUUGGAAGCAGUGCUUGAGGGGUAUUCCCGAGGUGUAGCGGUGAAAUGCGUAGAGAUCUGGAGGAAUACCGGUGGCGAGGCGGCUCCGCAGUUAAGACUGACGCUCAGGUGCAGCGUGGGGAGCAAACAGGAUUAGAUACCCACUGUUAGUCACGCCGUAAGCGAUGACACACUUGGAGGUUGUGCCCUUGAGGCGUAUUUCCGGAGCUAACGCGUUGAAGCAGAACGCACGGGAGUACGGCUGCAAGGUUAAAGCACCAAAUGAAUUGACGGGGGGCCCGCACAAGCGGUGGAGCAUGGCAAGUUUAAUUCGAUGCAACGCGAAGAACCUGAUGUGACAUCACGGAAGUUUUCAGAAGGAUGAGGGGAAUGUGCCUUCGGGAACCGUGGGGCUUAAGGUGCUGCGGCGGCUGUCGUCAGCUCGUGUUGUGAAAUGUUGGGUUAAGUCGCAACGACGCCUCCCUUUGUUGCCAGCGGUAAGAUUGAAGGGAACUCCAAGGGCUGCCAGUGAUAAACUGGAGGGAAGGUGGGAUGACGUCCAAGUCAUCAUGGCCCUUACGACGGGGCUACACACGUGCUUUACAAUAUGGCGCAUACAAGAAGAAACGCGACCUCGCGAGCAAGCAGGACUCGUAAAGUGCGUCGUAGUCGGAUUGGAGUCUGCAGCUCGACUUCGCGAAGUCGGAAUCGCUAGUAAUAGUGGAUCAGAAUACGGUGAAUACGUUCCAGACGCUAGCGCACCGCCCGUCACACCAUGGGAGUAGGUUGCAAAAGUAGGUAGCUUAACCUUCGGGAGGGCGCUUACCACUUUGUGAUUCAUGACUGGGGUAGAAGUCGUAACAAGGUAACCGUAGGAGAACCUGCGGUUGGAUCACUCCUUAC